AAUUAAUGAGCUUGUAACAAGCAUUUGUUUUGAAAACUUAAGAAAAGAAUAAAUAUUCUUAUUAAUUU
rnacentral:tRNA from 1 species